AGAGUUUGAUCAUGGCUCAGGACGAACGCUGGCGGCGUGCUUAACACAUGCAAGUCGAACGAUGAAGCCCUAGCUUGCUGGGGUGGAUUAGUGGCGAACGGGUGAGUAAUACGUGAGUAACCUGCCCCCUUCUUUGGGAUAAGCCUUGGAAACGGGGUCUAAUACUGGAUAUUCUGCUUCUGCCGCAUGGUGGGGGUUGGAAAGGUUUUCUGGUGGGGGAUGGGCUCACGGCCUAUCAGCUUGUUGGUGGGGUGAUGGCCUACCAAGGCGUCGACGGGUAGCCGGCCUGAGAGGGUGACCGGCCACAUUGGGACUGAGAUACGGCCCAGACUCCUACGGGAGGCAGCAGUGGGGAAUAUUGCACAAUGGACGCAAGUCUGAUGCAGCGACGCCGCGUGGGGGAUGAAGGCUUUCGGGUUGUAAACUCCUUUUAACACUGAACAAGGCUUUUUGUUGAGGGUAGGUGUUGAAUAAGCGCCGGCUAACUACGUGCCAGCAGCCGCGGUAAUACGUAGGGCGCGAGCGUUGUCCGGAAUUAUUGGGCGUAAAGAGCUCGUAGGCGGUUUGUCGCGUCUGCUGUGAAAGACCGGGGCUUAACUCCGGGGCUGCAGUGGGUACGGGCAGACUAGAGUGCGGUAGGGGUAACUGGAAUUCCUGGUGUAGCGGUGGAAUGCGCAGAUAUCAGGAGGAACACCGAUGGCGAAGGCAGGUUACUGGGCCGUUACUGACGCUGAGGAGCGAAAGCAUGGGGAGCGAACAGGAUUAGAUACCCUGGUAGUCCAUGCCGUAAACGUUGGGCACUAGGUGUGGGGCCUAUUUCCAUGGGUUCUGUACCGUAGCUAACGCAUUAAGUGC
rnacentral:rRNA from 1 species